UCCAGUUCAUACAGGGAUAUGUGCUGUGGCAUGUUAUCUUCAGAUGCACAGCUGUGAUGAGGAACAUGUGCUUGGAUAGUUUGAUCAUUAUUUGCUCCCGUCGAGCCCCGUCGGAAGAGCAAGGCACCACCAGGGUUAAAGGUUUGAAUCCCUGCCCAGCUCAACUGGGAGAGCGUGGCAGUAACACAGUCAGGGUUAAAGGGUUGAUUCCCACUAUGUCAACCCAGGUUAGUGCACAGACCCUUAGAAUAGUUGUUUCGUG